CCCCUCUUAGGGUAACACCUGGAGAGUUCCCAGUACUCUACCAGCCUCUACUACAGGACAGAGAGUUAGGCAGAGGCAUUUCCAUUCCAUUCCUAGCUUGGGCAGGGGCUAGAGAGUGGAAGGCAAUCUGCCACAAGU